rnacentral:rRNA from 1 species
AUUGAACGCUGGCGGCAGGCUUAACACAUGCAAGUCGAACGAGUGGCGGACGGGUGAGUAAUGUAUGGGGAUCUGCCUGAUGGCGGGGGAUAACUACUGGAAACGGUAGCUAAUACCGCAUACCAUCAGAUGAACCCAUAUGGGAUUAGCUUGUAGGUGGGGUAACGGCUCACCUAGGCGACGAUCCCUAGCUGGUCUGAGAGGAUGAUCAGCCACACUGGGACGGAGACACGGCCCAGAAUCCUACGGGAGGCAGCAGUGGGGAAUAUUGCACAAGGGGCGCAAGCCUGAUGCAGCAAUGCCGCGGGUAUGAAGAAGGCCUUCGGGUUGUAAAGUACUUUCAGUGGGGAGGCGUUACCGACAGAAGAAGCACCGGCUAACUCCGUGCCAGCAGCCGCGGUAAUAC